rfam:Asticcacaulis biprosthecum C19 genomic scaffold ABI_scaffold00004, whole genome shotgun sequence.
UCCCCGAUAGCUCAGUUGGUAGAGCAGUCGACUGUUAAUCGACUUGUCACAGGUUCGAGUCCUGUUCGGGGAG